rnacentral:rRNA from 1 species
CCUACGGGGCGCAGCAGUGGGGGAUAUUGCACAAUGGGGGAAACCCUGAUGCAGCGACGCCGCGUGGGUGAAGAAGCGCCUCGGCGCGUAAAGCCCUGUCAGCAGGGAAGAAAAUGACGGUACCUGAAGAAGAAGCCCCGGCUAACUACGUGCCAGCAGUCGCGGUAAUACGUAGGGGGCAAGCGUUAUCCGGAUUUACUGGGUGUAAAGGGGGCGCAGACGGCGAUGCAAGCCAGGAGUGAAAGCCCGGGGCCUAACCCCGGGACGGCUCUUGGAACUGCGUGGCUAGAGUGCAGGAGGGGCAG